GUGGGGAAUCUUGCGCAAUGGGCGGAAGCCUGACGCAGCGACGCCGCGUGUGGGAUGACGGCCUUCGGGUUGUAAACCUCUUUUACCACUGACGCAGGCCCGGGUUUCUGCCCGGGUUGACGGUAGGUGGGGAAUAAGGACCGGCCAACUACGUGCCAGCAGCCGCGGUAAUACGUAGGGUCCGAGCGUUGUCCGGAAUUAUUGGGCGUAAAGAGCUCGUAGGUGGUGUGUCGCGUCUGCUGUGUAAGUCCGGGUCUUAACUCCGGUUUUGCAGUGGAUACGGGCAUGCUAGAGGUAGGUAGGGGAGACUGGAAUUCCUGGUGUAGCGGUGAAAUGCGCAGAUAUCAGGAGGAACACCGGUGGCGAAGGCGGGUCUCUGGGCCUUACCUGACGCUGAGGAGCGAAAGCGUGGGGAGCGAACAGGAUUAGAAACCCUAGUAGUCC
rnacentral:rRNA from 1 species